UUUACAUUGCAUAGCUUUGUAUUGAAACAAAUUCAUUGAGGCAUCUGUUGGGAGAAUUAAGUAAAUAAUUAAGUUAAAUAUUGAUUACUCCAGUUUUGAUCCAGACUCAGAUUUAAAGUAACAUUUAGAUGAACACUGACGCUCUCAAAGAGGUGCACAUUAUUGUAUCUGAUAACCAAAUGUUCAUUGCUUCUAUGAUCAAUUUUGUAAUCUGUUGUCUUGUUGAUCACAUGAUAUGAUGCAUAAAAAACUGUUGACUUUGGCCCCUUUAGCCUUUGUUCCUAUUUUGCAGCUGGUAAGGUGGAAAGUCUUAUACCUGUCCAACAGCAUAUUCUCUGGAAAAACAAGGCUAAGAUGCUCCAGUCUCGGGUGGAUGAGCUAGAGGAGGAAAAUGGCUUACUCAAACAAUAACUUGAGGAGAAGAAUUCUAUACAAGAGCAAGAUGGGAACUUGGAGAUAAUGGACACUGGAGAUGAGGAGCCUCAGGCCAUGAGGUUGAACUCCAGCACCCUUUCCAGCACUGACUCCAGCACUGAGUCAAGCUCUGACUCCAGCUCAAGCUCUACCUCUGACUCUUCUGAUGAAGGAAAGAAGAACAAGAAGCAGAAAAAGAAGAAUGGUAAGAAGAGAAGCAAAAAAAGGAAAGGAAGGAAGGAAAACAAAAAGGUGAAGAGGUCAAAAAGGAAAAGGAGAGCGAGUUGCUUCCAUCAGGGGAUGUGGUGAGAAGAUACCGGCAUGUCCUCAAACUUGUGCAGAGAGGAUUCAAGAUGAGCAAAGCUUUCCAGAAAGUUCGGGUUUCCAGAAAUGCUGUGAAAGACACUGCAGCAAUUGCAGAAGAAUACCUAGUGGACAAAAGAGUCCUAGACCAGUUCAAGGGUAAAUACACACGUUUGAAAUUAGCCCAAGUUUGUCAGAAAACAAUUGUUGGUGAACUGGCAGAAAAGACAAUUGAAAUGAAAAGCAACAAACAGCUCAUCCCCUCAAGGAAUCCUGAAUGUGGG